rnacentral:lncRNA from 1 species
CCACCUUGGAAAAUUUCUCUGGCACUAGAGGAAAGAAACUCAGCUUCUGGUUUCCCCCCUCAGUCCCCGAGCCUCUGCCCACAUUGUGGCUCUGCAUCCUUUUCUAGAGGAUCUGCGUGCUAUUUAAAAUGCUUUGUCAUAAAGCAGAACUCUUCCCUCCUUUCUGUCACUCUGUAGGAGGGGAGAGGAGUCCCUCCCUCCAUUUUGACUCUGAAGUUUUCUGACUUGCACUAUGCCAGCCUUUCUACCCAAUUGCCCAAGCAUUUCUCAGCUAAAGUGAUCCUUAGUAGCUUGAAUUCUUGUCACAAUGUGUUCAGGCUGCUAUAACAAAAUACCAUAGGCUGGGUGGUUUAUAAACAAAGGAAAUUUAUUUCUUAGAGUUCUGGAGGCUGUUCGGAAGUCUAAGGUCAGGAAUGCAGUAGGUUCGGUGUCUGGUGAGUGUCUGCUUCGUGGUUCAUAGAUGGCUGUCUUCUUGCUGCACAGUCACUUGGCAGAAAGGGUGAGGGGUUCUCUCUCUGGGGCCACUAAUCCCUUUCAUGAGGGCUCCCUCCCCCUCAUGACUUCAUUGAGAGUCCCUGUGGACCUAACUGUGCAUUGCUGGUGUCAUGGAAAGACUGUGGGCUCUGAAGAUGGACAGUCUUGCUCAAGUCCUGAGUCUACUAAUUACUGGCUUUGUGUCUUCCAGCAAAUGAUUUAAUCUCCAGUCUCAGUUUCCUCAACUAUAAAAUGGAGAUUAUACUACCUAUUGUUUAUACGAAGCUUGCACAUAGUGGAUAAUCAGCAAAUAUUAAAAAUCCUCUGCUCUCUCUCAUUCUACAAUUCCUUGAGAAGUUGAAGCACAGUGGGAGAAGAAAUAAGCUCCCACCCAAGCUUUUGCUCAUCUGUGAGGAGUCGGUCUGUGGUAUCGUCAGAGGAGUGUGAAAGGAGGAAUUUUCUUGAGACAUUCUCCAUGUAGUCUCCAUCUUUCAGACUACGAUCAUGUAAAGGAAGCCAAGGGUUUUCACAUACACCAUCACCACUCCACACAUCACCUACCGUUCUUGUCUUGAAAGGUUGAUGUGUGUUGCCCAGUGGAUGUUGAGCCAAUCAGAGAUAGAAGGAGAAACCUUAGGCAACCACCUCUUUUUUCCCUCACUACUUAUAUGGGAUGAGAUCUGCGAGCAUCCCAGAACAAACCUCGAAGUGUAAACAGUAUUUUGUACAUCCAGAGAGAAGGGUUUCAAGAUAGCUGACUAGCGACACCUGGCACUUCUGCACAAAGAAGGACCAAAACUGAACAAUCACAUAACAAGUGGAGCUUCUAAGAGAACAAUGGAAUUCAUCAGAGAAGUGACAGGGAACAUCUGAGGCUUGGAAGGAGAGGGAAGCAAAGCAGCUGGUCCCCCCAGUGCAGAGAGAAGGUAAGCAAGAGAUCUUCAGCAGUCUACAUUGCCACACUGACUCUUACAGUCCUAGCCACAGGAGAGCCC